UGUUGAUUCUUGUCUAAGGCCUUGUUUUGACCUUAAGAAUUUCAUUAUAAUUCCGCAAGGGAAAUGUAUUGAUUGUGUCAUUUGGCUCCCAGUGUCUGUCCUUGACUGUUUCUGUGAUUGCCUUGCAGAGCUCUGAGGAACAUGAGUACAGUGAUGAAGCUCCUCAGGAAGAUGAGGGCUUUAUGGGCAUGUCCCCUCUCUUACAAGCCCAUCAUGCUAUGGAAAAAAUGGAAGAAUUUGUUUGUAAGGUAUGGGAAGGUCGGUGGCGAGUGAUCCCUCAUGAUGUACUACCAGACUGGCUCAAGGAUAAUGACUUCCUCUUGCAUGGACACCGGCCUCCUAUGCCUUCUUUCCGGGCCUGUUUUAAGAGCAUUUUCAGAAUACACACAGAAACAGGCAACAUUUGGACACAUCUCUUAGGUUGUGUAUUCUUCCUGUGCCUGGGGAUCUUUUAUAUGUUUCGCCCAAAUAUCUCCUUUGUGGCCCCU
rnacentral:sRNA from 1 species